rnacentral:rRNA from 1 species
AUUGAACGCUGGCGGCAGGCCUAACACAUGCAAGUCGAGCGGAAUGGCUGACGGGUGAGUAAUGCCUAGGAAUCUACCUGGUAGUGGGGGAUGACGUACGGAAACGGGAGCUAAUACCGCAUCCUAUCAGUGAAGCCUAGGGGGGAUUAGCUAGGUGGUGGGGUAAAGGCCUAGAAAGGCGACGAUCCGUAACUGGUCUGAGAGGAUGAUCAGUCAAACUGGAACUGAGACACGGUCCAGACGCCUACGGGAGGAAGCAGUGGGGAAUAUGGGACAAUGGGCGAAAGCCUGAUACAGCCAUGCCGCGUGUGUGAAGAAGGGCUUCGGGUUGUAGAGCUGUAUACGUUUGGAGGCGUUACCAACAGAAUAAGCACCGGCUAACUUCGUGCCAGCCGCCGCGGUAAUAC